rnacentral:rRNA from 1 species
GACGAACGCUGGCGGCGUGCUUAACACAUGCAAGUCGAACGGAGUGGCGAACGGGUGAGUAACACGUGGGUUACCUGCCCUGCACUUCGGGAUAAGCCUGGGAAACUGGGUCUAAUACCGGAUAGUGUGGGAUGGGCCCGCGGCCUAUCAGCUUGUUGGUGGGGUAAUGGCCUACCAAGGCGGCGACGGGUAGCCGGCCUGGGAGGGUGGACGGCCACAUUGGGACUGGGACACGGCCCAGACUCCUACGGGAGGCAGCAGUGGGGAAUAUUUCAAAAUGGGCGGAAGUCUGAAGCAGCGAAGCCGCGUAGGAGAUGGCGGCCUUCGGGUUGUAACAUCCUUUCGCCGUCGAAGCGGUGGAUGGUGAAGAGGCACCGGCUAACUACGUGCCAGCCGCCGCGGUAAUUC